UCUUAUCGCUUCGGCUGCCAUUAUCUUCGUCUGCUUCGGCAGAUUUCUGUGCACGCGGACGUGUUCUCGCAUGCACCGCAGGUGAAACCUUCCUUUUUGUGCCUGCGAACGUUCGGGCAAUGUAAGAAAAGCUGAGGAAAGGGCACAAGGGGUUCUGUGCGGCUGUGUGGUGUAACAACUCGGGAAGGAACAGCAGGGCGAAAUUCUUUCGUUUCCUAGCGGACGAGAGAUGUGACAUAUGGUGAACGUACGCUAAAUGGGGCGCCCCGGCGGGGCUGACGUGGGAGCAGAUGUACCACGGCUACCGCCUCUGCUCGGACCCUUUCACAGAAAGGGUCCUCGCCGACCCGGCCAAAGCAAGACUGUUGUGAUCGGCUGUGCCGACUGUUGGAGUGGAAGAGUGGUUCGUGAUCGACGAAGGUUCUACACCGCUGCAACGAUUCUAAAAGCGGGAAAUAUGUGCACCGGAGACCGUAGGCGUUAUGAACCGACUGAGGAAUCGUACACCAAGGUAUCUAAGCCAGCUAAGUUAAAGACCAUCACCUCGGGGGAAGAACUAGAGAAGUUGAUGCAUCAUGUGAGCUUAGACUUAGAGCGGAGCCAGAUGACAUUCCAUCAUCGCAAGAGCAGGGGAAGCACAUGGAGAUGUUUUCUGGAGCACAUUGGCGUAGUCGCGCACUUGUGUUGUGUGACCGCUGCACUGAAAUAUUGGCUAAACAGCAGUAUACUAAAUUAAAUAUUUUCAUCUAAUAUGUGUUAGAUAGACCUGCUGCAGCAGUUCUGCUAUGCGUGGCUUAUGUUGCUCAUAAAUGAUAUCAAUCUGGAUCUCAAAAAAAAACAUCGUGUGAGGAAGUCCGCGGCAAAAAAGAAAGACACAGAAGCAUGAAAAAUAGGAAAUAUUUCCUUAUUGAUAUGUUAUUCUUUUUGUCAUUCUAAUAGUUCUUGGGGCGUUCUACUGAUUAGCCUAUAUUUACAAAAUAUUUCGGCACGUUUUGAUAUUUGCAUAAACAUCGUGCCCCGUAUUGUCUUUGGGCAGACAACCAUUGAUCCCACACUUGCACCCUUCUCUUUCGUAAUUAUUAUAUAACUACCAUACAUGGAUAUUGGGAUGCUAGAAUCUUGUUGACCUUACUUCAAUAAAGUUGGGAAGUACUAA